AAUGCCUUUUCAUUGUAGGUUAAAGGGCGUGAUUUUUGGACAGAGCCUUAAAAUAGAAUUUAAACCGCCAAAACCCUCGUCAUCGUCCUCAAAACCUCAAACAGCCCAAACGGAGGGAGCGGCGGAGUAACAUUUAAAUCUUAAUCAUGGGCAACCUCUCCGACGUCGUAUACCCCGAACUCAAAGCUACCCAAAAGUUGUCCUCCACGGGGAACAACUUCCUCAUUUGGAAGCUCAAACUCGCCUUCGUCCUCACCGACCAUCAACUCCCCCACCUCCUCAGCCCAACCAGGGAGGACCCCAAAUGGCACGACAAAAACGACGCCGCCAAGCUUCUCAUCCUCAGGACUCUAGACAACGAUCUCCUCCUUGAAUUCUCCGACUACCCCACCCCUUCAUCCAUCAUGGAAGCCCUCCUCCACCGCUUCGAUAAUAGGCUGAAAGCCUUCAGAAUUCUCCUGCUAAGGCGCUACAGGGACCACCGGAUGGCCGCGGACGCCCACAUUUAUCAGCAUGUGUUCAGGAUGCGGGCUAUGGCGAAAGAACUCGAGUAUGCAGGGAUCAAGAUUCCUGAUGAGAUGCAGGCUGUGGCUUUGUUGAAUAGCCUGCCGGAUGAUUGGGAUGAUGAUGUGGAACGGUUGGCAAUCGGGUUGGAUGGAGCUUCCACAGAAAAGUUGAGUUUUGAUUGUGUGAGCCGGCGGUUGAGGAUGGUUAGCGAUGUUAGAUCGUUGAAAAAGUUAAACAAUGCGAAGAAGUUGAAGAACAAAUUCAGGGGUAGUUGUUAUAAUUGUGGGAAACGAGGGCACCACCAAUCAGAUUGCCCUGAGCAAGGUUCGUCCAAGCAGAAAAGUUCUUCUUCAGAGAUUUUCACAAUCCCUGGUGCAUCUGCAACUCUAUCUGAAAUAAUAUAUCCUCAAUUGAAGACCUAUUUAAAAAUUAACUGCAAGGGAUCAAGAUUUUCUAUGUGGAAGAGAGAACUUUUUGAUGUCCUCGAAGAUAACCAAGUUGAAUAUGUCCUCAAAGACCUAAAACCUUCUGAGCCUACAGAUGCUGCAUCUGAGGUUGAUGCUCAGCUUUAUGAUAAGUGGCAUGCAGAUGAUUUCACGUGUCGCCACCUUAUCCUUGGAGCAAUGGACGAUGAUGUCUUCCUUAGCUUCCAUGACUAUCCAACUGCCAAAGCUCUUCUAUAUUCUCUUGAAGCAUUCUUUAAUUCUCCUUCCACUGCUCAAAAGUUGGUUCUGCUCAAGAAGUAUAUGAACAAUCAUAUGUCAGAUGAUACACUGAUUAUGGAUCACAUUUUAAAGAUGGACUUGAUGGCACAUAAGCUGAAAAUAGCUGGUGUCAACGUCCCUAAUGAGAUGCAAUCUCUUGUUUUGCUGGACAGUUUACCAGAGUCAUGGGGGGACACUCUAACAUUGUUGAAUAUAAACAUGACUUUGGAUAUGGAGAAUGGUUUGAGCCUGGAUAAUGUAAGAAAGAGGGUGAGAGAUGCUGGUCAGAUGAAAGAACUGAUGGCUCAAGCAGAUGACUCAUUGUUCGAUGGCAAUGGCAAUAGAAAUACAAAGAGGGUUUUCAGGGGCAAAUGUUUUUCUUGUGGACGGCCAGGUCAUUACCAAUCUGAUUGCCCUGACCAAGGUAAAAGGUGAAGUACAUGGCUGGUAGAUGUUCAAGUGCCCUGUAAAUGAGAAAAUCUACUCCUUCAGAUUUUCUCUAUCCUUUUCUUGUGCAGUACAUUUCAAGAGAUGAUUUUGCAAGCAAAUGAGAAAAUGCAAUAGUAGACAGUUUACACUAAGGGUAUGUUUGGUUCCCCAUGGAAUUGGGGUUUAGAAUUGGAAUUGGGUCCUAAAUUCCAAAUCUGUUGUUUGGAUACUGCUUCGCUCACAGAAUUAGAAUUGAAUCUGAAUUCUAUAGAAACCUAAUUCCAUGAAUUGAAUUCUUUACCGGAACAAAAGAAUUCUAAUUCCAAUUCCACAACUAAGCGGGUCAUACGCGGAUCUAGUAUGGAUCAAAAAUUAAAAUUGGGUCAAGGAUAUUGGCACCCCUCUCUUCCUAUCUAACUCACCGUGUUUCCUCAGCUGCUAGUGCUCUGCUCUCCACCAUCACUUCCACCUGCAACCCUAAUAUUAUCGUAUUAGAGAAGUGGACGGUAGAGAAAGGAGCCAUUAUGGCUAAAUCUUUCUAGUCUUGAGAUUCACUACUGUCAAAGAUUAACCAUGAUUCCGGCCCGAGGGAUUGAGGUUCAUUGGUUCACUCAAAAAGUGUUGGCAAUCCGUGAAGAAUUUCAGAACAGGGUUCGAGGAGAGGAUUUCGACAAAAUCUGCCACAAUAUUCCUUCAGUAAGGAUCCUUCCACCUCUAAAUCGUAUUUUGAUACAGAUAUGUCUUGAACAAAAGCUUUAAUUCUGGAAGCCUUUCAUUCAGUGAUGUAUUUUUCUCCGCCUUCUUCUAUUUCCCAUUGUUUUUGUUUAACUCCAUUUUAUAGCUUCAUAUAUCAGAAUAUAUAGUGAGUACUACACUUUUUAUCAUUUACCUGCUCCUUCCUUCCUACUCGAAUCCAUGUUCUGAAUACUGUGAGAUCCAAGCUGCUUUUCGUAUUUACUACUGCAGAUGAUGCCAAAGAAUCUGUAAAGAAGGGAAUUCGCUUGAGAUUCUCCACAGGCUUUUGCUGAUGAAGGUGGAGUUCUCCACAGGCUGCAGGAAGACUUGGCUUUUGGUGAAGGUGGUAGCGCAGAAGUUGUCCCCAAGGUGCUUGCAUCUCCAUGUAGGAGGAGGAGAGGUCUGCCUGACAAAUUUGCUGCAACAUAUCAAAAAGAUUAGUAGAGAAAAUAUAAUUUCUGCACGUAGUCCCUUUGGAUGAUUAUAGUUAAGUGGGGAACAAUUUAUAGCAUUUCUUGGGAUCUAAUGGUUUUUUUUAAAUUGCUUUGCAUUCUUUCUCAAAAUUAAGGAGCUUUUGUAUAAGUGCUCUUCCUGUAUUCUAUUUAGCAAGUACUUGACUGUGUGUGAAUAGGUCAUCUGACAGUCUUAAGUUUUGUAUUUUCCAACAUCUCCUCCAAAGAAGCUGGUAAAUAUUAGUACAAAGGUUCGGUCGUGUAUUUAUCAUAUUGUGUUACAAAAACAAGAAGCCUCGGGAAUUUGUCUUCA